rnacentral:rRNA from 1 species
CGCAGCUUACCAUGCAGUCGAGCGGUAACAGGGGGUGCUUGCACCCCGCUGACGAGCGGCGGACGGGUGAGUAAUGCAUAGGAAUCUGCCCAGUAGUGGGGGAUAGCCCGGGGAAACCCGGAUUAAUACCGCAUACGCCCUUUGGGGGAAAGCAGGGGAUCUUCGGACCUUGCGCUAUUGGAUGAGCCUAUGUCGGAUUAGCUAGUUGGUGGGGUAAAGGCCUACCAAGGCGACGAUCCGUAGCUGGUCUGAGAGGAUGAUCAGCCACAUCGGGACUGAGACACGGCCCGAACUCCUACGGGAGGCAGCAGUGGGGAAUAUUGGACAAUGGGGGCAACCCUGAUCCAGCCAUGCCGCGUGUGUGAAGAAGGCUUUCGGGUUGUAAAGCACUUUCAGUGAGGAGGAAAACCUUCUGGUUAAUACCCAUGAGGCUUGACGUUACUCACAGAAGAAGCACCGGCUAACUCCGUGCCAGCAGCCGCGGUAAUACGGAGGGUGCAAGCGUUAAUCGGAAUUACUGGGCGUAAAGCGCGCGUAGGUGGUUUGAUAAGCGAGAUGUGAAAGCCCCGGGCUUAACCUGGGAACGGCAUUUCGAACUG